rnacentral:rRNA from 1 species
AACACAUGCAAGUCGAGGGGAAACGACGUCGAAAGCUUGCUUUCGAUGGGCGUCGACCGGCGCACGGGUGAGUAACGCGUAUCCAACCUGCCCAUCACUUGGGGAUAACCUUGCGAAAGUAAGACUAAUACCCAAUGACGUCUCUAGAAGACAUCUGAAGGAGAUUAAAGAUUUAUCGGUGAUGGAUGGGGAUGCGUCUGAUUAGCUUGUUGGCGGGGUAACGGCCCACCAAGGCGACGAUCAGUAGGGGUUCUGAGAGGAAGGUCCCCCACAUUGGAACUGAGACACGGUCCAAACUCCUACGGGAGGCAGCAGUGAGGAAUAUUGGUCAAUGGGCGAGAGCCUGAACCAGCCAAGUAGCGUGCAGGAUGACGGCCCUAUGGGUUGUAAACUGCUUUUAUAAGGGAAUAAAGUGAGCCUCGUGAGGCUUUUUGCAUGUACCUUAUGAAUAAGGACCGGCUAAUUCCGUGCCAGCAGCCGCGGUAAUACGGAAGGUCCGGGCGUUAUCCGGAUUUAUUGGGUUUAAAGGGAGCGUAGGCCGGAGAUUAAGCGUGUUGUGAAAUGUAGACGCUCAACGUCUGCACUGCAGCGCGAACUGGUUUCCUUGAGUACGCACAAAGUGGGCGGAAUUCGUGGUGUAGCGGUGAAAUGCUUAGAUAUCACGAAGAACUCCGAUUGCGAAGGCAGCUCACUGGAGCGCAACUGACGCUGAAGCUCGAAAGUGCGGGUAUCGAACAGGAUUAGAUACCCUGGUAGUCCGCACGGUAAACGAUGGAUGCCCGCUGUUGGUCUGAAUAGGUCAGCGGCC